rnacentral:lncRNA from 1 species
GAUCCUGCCAACGACACAACCGACGUUAGCCUUCAGACGGUCCCUCUCGGCCACAGUCGGGCUUUUGGGGCCGCAAAGCGCUGGCUAGCGCCGCCGCCCCAAUUGGCAAGGCGGCCGCAGGCAGCGCGACGCGGUUCGAUACACGUCUCCCUCCCGGCCCAGCGGGCUCUGCCGCCCCGCGGCGGCGGCCACUACCGACACUGCAGCUUGCCUGGCACCUGCAGCCCCUCACCGCCGCCCCUCACCUACCGCUGUCCCUGUCGGCGGGCGCGUCCCUCACCGCGGGAAGACGAGGGCAGCUCGCGACCCCAUGCCUGCGCGCCGCGUCCGCAGCGAGCGCCACAACCGCUACUGCUGCCGCCGCUACUGCACCGGCUGCCGCUCUCGCUACCAGCACCGCGGCAACUCCCCCACAACUGGCGGCAAGGCGCCUCCCAGCCCGCGCCUAGCCCUGCGGGCACCGCCCCGCGGCCCCCCAUUGGCUCCGCCGCGCGGCGGGGGCGGGGAGGAGGGCGCGCUGCACUUCGCCUAUUGGCCGGCCAUACAGGUCACUCACCAGAGAACCCGGGUUCUAUCGUCCUCAGCCGGACACUGCGGCCGGGCAAAGGGCCGCGGCCUCCGCAGCGGCUGGGGCGUACCGCUUUCCGCCCACAGCCUGCCCAAGCCACCCCACUCCGCCCUCCGCGGUCCCACUCCCUGCUUGCGGGGUGGAGUCACUGCGUUACACGGCCGCUUCAUGGAAAGCUGCCGUGCUCCGACGGGCGGACGGCAGCGCCCCGCCGCCUGGGCGCCCCGCCCCUUCGCCGGAGACGCGUGCGCCCAUUGGGUGCGGGUGCUGUCACUCUAGCCCCGCCCCUUAGCGGCCUGGGAAACUGCUCGGCAGCGUCUCACAGCGCACCUGCGCCCCUGCCGGGGGUACGUUGGCUAGUCUCGCCUCUGCGCAGCCCGCUGGGAGAGGGACCCGGUGGCAACGCCCUGCUCCGGCCACUGCUCUCUACAGGUAGCCCCUGGGGCGGCAUAGGGGUACGUGCCGGGGCCGCUCCGCUCGCCUUGCCGUUGCCUUGCCUCCUCGCCAUCCGCCGGCUGCUCCCGUAG